rfam:Eastern equine encephalomyelitis Virus(EEE) 26S mRNA genomic reg.
GCUGUGGGCCGGCUUUUUUACUUGUCUGCGGCGCUUGGGCCGCAGCGUACGAACACACAGCAGUGAUGCC